rnacentral:rRNA from 1 species
CCUACGGGGCGCAGCAGUGGGGAAUAUUGGGCAAUGGGCGCAAGCCUGACCCAGCAACGCCGCGUGAAGGAAGAAGGCUUUCGGGUUGUAAACUUCUUUUAUGAGGGACGAAACAAAUGACGGUACCUCAUGAAUAAGCCACGGCUAACUACGUGCCAGCAGCCGCGGUAAUACGUAGGUGGCAAGCGUUAUCCGGAAUUACUGGGUGUAAAGGGAGCGCAGGCGGGACUGCAAGUUGGAUGUGAAAUACCGCAGCUUAACUGCGGAGCUGCAUCCAAAACUGUAGUUCUUGAGUGGAGUAGAGG